rnacentral:lncRNA from 1 species
UUUUUUUUUUUUUUUUUUUUUGAGACAGAGUCUUACUCUUGCCCAGACUGGAGUGCAGUGGCAUGAUCUCGGUUCACUGCAACCUCUGCCUCCUGGGUUCAAGCAACUAUCCUGCCACAGCCUCCUGAGUAGCUGAGACGACAGGUGUGCGCUACCACACCCGGCUAACUUUUGUAUUUUAGUAGUAACAGGGUUUCACCAUGUUGGCCAGGCUGGUUUUGAACUCCUGACCUCAGGUGAUCCACUCGCCUCGGCCUCCCAAAGUGCUGAGAUUACAGGUGUGAGUCACUGUGCCUGGCUUACAGUUUGGAGAUUUCUUAAAGAACUUGAAAUAUAACUACCAUUCAACCCAGCAAUCCCACUACUGGGUAUAUAUCCAAAGGAAAAUAAAUCAUUCUACAAAAAAGACACAUGCACUCAUAUAUUCAUCACAGCACUGUUCACAAUAGCAAAGGUAUGGAACCCACCUGGAUGACCAUCAAUGAUAGACGGGAUAAAGAAAAUUGGUGCAUGUACACUAUGGAAUACUACACAGCCAUUAAAAGGAAUGAAAUUAUGUCAUUUGCAGCAAUGUGGAUGCAGCUGAAGGCCACUGUCCUAAGCAAAUUUAAGCAGGAAUGGAAAACCAAAUACCAGGUAUCCUCACUUAUAAGUGGGAGCUACACACAUUGAAUACAUAUGGACAUAAAGAUGGCAACGAUAGACAGUGCAUACUACUAGAGGAGGGAAGGUUGGAAAACUACCUAUUAGGUAGUCUCCUCACUACUUGGGCAAUGGGAUCAUUCAUACACCAACACUCAGUGACAUGCAAUUUACUCAUGUAACAAACCUGCACAUGUACCCCCAGAAGCUAAAAUAAAAGUUGAAAAAAAAAUCUCUUUGGAACCCCUUACAAGAGAAUGAAUUAAAGAUGAAAGAAUAUUUAGCCUUUUUCUGAUAAGCCAGGUAAAUCGAUUUUGACAUGAUUUUACAAUAGCAGUCCCUGUUUGUAGUGACAUCUGGGGCUUACAAUAGCUCAGUAUUGCUCUGUAAAUGGCAUUUUAUAAAGGAAACAUCUCCCCUAUGGGGUGUAAGUUCUUCAAAGGCAAACCAUGUUUGUGUAUGCUAUAUUUGCAACACUUGGCACUGUGUUUGAUAAAUGUUUUA